CUCUACUGCUCAGCUCUGCAGCUCAGCUGGACUGCGGCCGCGUCAUGUUUAGCUACAGCACAGUGGCGGUACUAUUGGUUGUGCUCACGUUGUUUGGUCCAGUUUAUUCAGGAAGACUAAUUGGAGGUCGGGAAGCUGUGCCACACAGCCGGCCCUACGUGGUGCUUGUGGAGAGAUGUGUCAAAUGACAUAAGAAACUGUGAUGAAUUUAUUCUCAGUGAGGACUUUGUGAUGACUGCUGCCCACUGUCAAUCCAAGGAUUACUUAGUUUAUAUUGGACUUCACAGUAUGUGUCAUUUUUAAGUGAAGCUCAUAAAAGUGGAACAAGCAUUUUCACAUGUACAUCAAUAAAACCUUUAAGAAUGAUGUCAUGCUCCUCAAGCUGAGCUCCAAGGCAAACUUUAAAGAUAACGUGAAACCUAUCAAUCUGGCAAGCCAGGAUGAUAAGGCUCAGCUGAAAUCAUGCAUCGUCUCUGGCUGGGGUCAAACAGCACCAGAUGGGCUGCUGUCCCCCAAACUCAUGGAAAUCAACGCAACACUGAUCGAAAAUGCAAACUGCAGGAAGGAAAACUUGUACUGUUCUGAAAACCUGCACUACGGACCUGGCUGAUAGGUGUCAUCUAAUUUCACAUGUUAUCUGACAACCAGCUGACGCAAUAACUGAGAGAAUUGCAAGUGAAUGAAUUCAUAAUACUGUCAGACCAACACAGGCAAUGGCUUGUGGACUUAUACAUUUGUGCUGAAU